rnacentral:tRNA from 1 species
UGGGGGAUCGUCUAGAGGCAGGACGGCAGACUCUGGAUCUGUGGACCGAGGUUCGAAUCCUCGUCCCCCAGCCA